GUAGAUUUUGUAGUGUAUACAGCUAACAACCCCAAAAUAGUCCAGUGAGAAAAGUUGGGACUGUGUCCAGGCCACUGUGCCUCAUCCACUGUCCACAUUCUCCACUUCUCUGCCAGGACAACUUCCACAACACCCGGCCUGAACCAGUACAACAUUAAGAAGUCUUCAGUCUUGAAAACACAGUUUGAAGCAUGAC